rnacentral:rRNA from 1 species
AUUGAACGCUGGCGGCAGGCUUAACACAUGCAAGUCGAGCGAGCGGCGGACGGGUGAGUAAUGUCUGGGAAACUGCCUGAUGGAGGGGGAUAACUACUGGAAACGGUAGCUAAUACCGCAUACCAUAAGAUGUGCCCAGAUGGGAUGAGCUAGUAGGUGGGGUAAUGGGUAACCUAGGCGACGAUACCUAGCUGGUAUGAGAGGAUGACCAGCGAACCUUGAACUGAGACACGGUCCGGACUCCUACGGGCGUCAGCAGUGGGGAAUAUUGCAAAAUGGGCGAAAGCCUGAUGCAGCCAUGCCGCGUGUGUGAAGAAGGCCGUCGGGUUGUAAAGCACUUUCAGCGAGGAGGCGUUACUCGCAGAAGAAGCACCGGCUAACUCCGUGCCAGCAGCCGCGGUAAUUC